rnacentral:rRNA from 1 species
GACGAACGCUGGGGGGGGGCUUACCCCAGGCAGGUCGAAGGGAAGGGCCCGGCUUUGUUGGGGUGCUCGAGGGGCAACCGGGUGAGAAACACGUAGUUAACCGGCCCUGGACUUUGGGAUAACUUCGGGAAACUGGGGCUAUUACCGGUUAGGAGCUCCGGCUGAUUGGGGGGGUUGGGAAAUUUUCGGCGGUUGGGGAUGGACUCGCGGCUUAUCAGCUUGUUGGUGGGGUAGUGGCUUACCAAGGCUUUGACGGGUAGCCGGCCUGAGAGGGUGACCGGCCACAUUGGGACUGAGAUACGGCCCAGACUCCUACGGGAGGCAGCAGUGGGGAAUAUUGCACAAUGGGCGGAAGCCUGAUGCAGCAACGCCGUGUGCGGGAUGACGGCCUUCGGGUUGUAAACCGCUUUCGCCUGUGACGAAGCGUGAGUGACGGUAAUGGGUAAAGAAGCACCGGCUAACUACGUG